CGGCGUGUGGCGCAGCCUGGUAGCGCACUUCGUUCGGGACGAAGGGGUCGCAGGUUCGAAUCCUGCCACGCCGA
rnacentral:tRNA from 1 species